rnacentral:rRNA from 1 species
AAUGAACGCUGGCGGCGUGCUUAACACAUGCAAGUCGAACGGAAAGGCUCCUGCUUGCAGGGGUACUCGAGUGGCGAACGGGUGAGUAACACGUGGGUGAUCUGCCCUGCACUUCGGGAUAAGCCUGGGAAACUGGGUCUAAUACCGGAUAGGACCACAUUUUGGAUGGUGUGGUGGAAAGUUUUUCGGUGUGGGAUGAGCUCGCGGCCUAUCAGCUUGUUGGUGGGGUAAUGGCCUACCAAGGCGUCGACGGGUAGCCGGCCUGAGAGGGUGUACGGCCACAUUGGGACUGAGAUACGGCCCAGACUCCUACGGGAGGCAGCAGUGGGGAAUAUUGCACAAUGGGCGCAAGCCUGAUGCAGCGACGCCGCGUGGGGGAUGACGGCCUUCGGGUUGUAAACUCCUUUCGCUAGGGACGAAGCGUUUUUGUGACGGUACCUGGAGAAGAAGCACCGGCUAACUACGUG